rnacentral:pre_miRNA from 1 species
UUAUUACUCCCUCCGUUCCAAAAUAGAUGACUCAACUUUGUACUAACUUUAUACUACAGUUAGUACAAAGUUGAGUCAUCUAUUUUGGAACGGAGGGAGUAUUAU